rnacentral:rRNA from 1 species
ACGAACGCUGGCGGCGUGCUUAACACAUGCAAGUCGAACGGAAAGGCCUCUUUCGGGGGGUACUCGAGUGGCGAACGGGUGAGUAACACGUGAGUAACCUGCCCUUGACUUUGGGAUAACUUCAGGAAACUGGGGCUAAUACCGGAUAGGAGCUCCUGCUGCAUGGUGGGGGUUGGAAAGUUUCGGCGGUUGGGGAUGGACUCGCGGCUUAUCAGCUUGUUGGUGGGGUAGUGGCUUACCAAGGCUUUGACGGGUAGCCGGCCUGAGAGGGUGACCGGCCACAUUGGGACUGAGAUACGGCCCAGACUCCUACGGGAGGCAGCAGUGGGGAAGAUUGCACAAUGGGUGGAAGCCUGAUGCAGCAACGCCGUGUGCGGGAUGACGGCCUUCGGGUUGUAAACCGCUUUCGCUCAUGACGAAGCUUUGUGUGACGGUAGUGGGUAAAGAAGCACCGGCUAACUACGUG